AACCUGGUCACUUUCCGACAGAACGGCCUGGGGGAGAGAAGGGGUAGAAGAAAUAAUGAGAGUAGUUAUUAAGCUCUGACUGGGCAGAACGCUGUUCUAAGCCCUGGAGGAUAGUGCGGAGCUGAAGUUGCAGAAAGGGAAGAGGACAGGAGGAGAUAAAGCCCGUGAUGCUUCAGAUCACCUUUGGACAAGACCACCACUUCAGUCCAUGAUGUAACAGCAGCAACUGUACUGGCCUCCAGACUGUAAACACCUCAUGAGCAGAGAACAUGGCUACA